UACAGAGGUGGCGAGCGUUGUUCGGAUUUACUGGGCGUAAAGGGUGCGUAGGUGGCCACGUAUGUCGGAUGUGAAAUCCCACGGCUCAACCGUGGAACUGCAUCCGAAACUGCGAGGCUUGAGUGCAGGAGAGGAGAGCGGAAUUCUUGGUGUAGCGGUGAAAUGCGUUGAUAUCAAGAAGAACACCGGUGGCGAAGGCGGCUCUCUGGAAUGCUACUGACACUGAGGCACGAAAGCUGGGGGAGCAAACAGG
rnacentral:rRNA from 1 species